UCGGCGGGAGCGGUCGCAGCCGCCUCUGCUCCUCUCUCCGUUGCUUCCCGUCACCUCGCUGAGACCCUGUCCGGGCCGCGGGGACACCCUUUUUCGUCCUCCCCCCGAGGCUCGUGGGACCGACGGACGGACGCCGGGAUCCAGGGCCGGACUGCGGGCAGCGGCAAGGACUUUGUGAAUGGUGCUUUGGAGCACCUUCAGUGGUCAUUGCUCAUCCCUCUUCCCGGUACACUUUCUGGAAGGGACCAGCACACAUCCAGUUAACUCACGUCAGUGGGGUUGUGGAACAGAUCACGCUCAUCUCACUGAGAUCAGAACAGCUGAGCAUUACCUACCACGAAUAACAUCAAGGUAAAAACUGCAAAGUUUGGAUCUUUUCCUGCCUUAGAAGCAAGAAAAAUGGAAAACUGAUCGUC